rnacentral:rRNA from 1 species
UUAAGCGACUAAGCGUACACGGUGGAUGCCCUGGCAGUCAGAGGCGAUGAAGGACGUGCUAAUCUGCGAAAAGCGUCGGUAAGGUGAUAUGAACCGUUAUAACCGGCGAUGUCCGAAUGGGGAAACCCAGUGCAAUUCGUUGCACUAUCGUUAACUGAAUACAUAGGUUAACGAGGCGAACCGGGGGAACUGAAACAUCUAAGUACCCCGAGGAAAAGAAAUCAACCGAGAUUCCCCCAGUAGCGGCGAGCGAACGGGGAGCAGCCCAGAGUCUGAAUCAGCUUGUGUGUUAGUGGAACGGUCUGGAAAGUCCGACGGUACAGGGUGAUAGUCCCGUACACCAAAAUGCACAGGCUGUGAACUCGAAGAGUAGGGCGGGACACGUGGUAUCCUGUCUGAAUAUGGGGGGACCAUCCUCCAAGGCUAAAUACUCCUGACUGACCGAUAGUGAACCAGUACCGUGAGGGAAAGGCGAAAAGAACCCCGGCGAGGGGAGUGAAAAAGAACCUGAAACCGUGUACGUACAAGCAGUGGGAGCACCUUCGGGUGUGACUGCGUACCUUUUGUAUAAUGGGUCAGCGACUUAUAUUCUGUAGCAAGGUUAACCGUAUAGGGGAGCCGCAGGGAAACCGAGUCUUAACUGGGCGUUAAGUUGCAGGGUAUAGACCCGAAACCCGGUGAUCUAGCCAUGGGCAGGUUGAAGGUUGGGUAACACUAACUGGAGGACCGAACCGACUAAUGUUGAAAAAUUAGCGGAUGACUUGUGGCUGGGGGUGAAAGGCCAAUCAAACCGGGAGAUAGCUGGUUCUCCCCGAAAGCUAUUUAGGUAGCGCCUCGUGAAUUCAUCUUUGGGGGUAGAGCACUGUUUCGGCUAGGGGGUCAUCCCGACUUACCAACCCGAUGCAAACUACGAAUACCGAAGAAUGUUAUCACGGGAGACACACGGCGGGUGCUAACGUCCGUCGUGAAGAGGGAAACAACCCAGACCGCCAGCUAAGGUCCCAAAGUCAUGGUUAAGUGGGAAACGAUGUGGGAAGGCACAGACAGCCAGGAUGUUGGCUUAGAAGCAGCCAUCAUUUAAAGAAAGCGUAAUAGCUCACUGGUCGAGUCGGCCUGCGCGGAAGAUGUAACGGGGCUAAACCAUGCACCGAAGCUGCGGCAGCGACACUAUGUGUUGUUGGGUAGGGGAGCGUUCUGUAAGCCUGCGAAGGUGACCUGUGAGGGUUGCUGGAGGUAUCAGAAGUGCGAAUGCUGACAUAAGUAACGAUAAAGCGGGUGAAAAGCCCGCUCGCCGGAAGACCAAGGGUUCCUGUCCAACGUUAAUCGGGGCAGGGUGAGUCGACCCCUAAGGCGAGGCCGAAAGGCGUAGUCGAUGGGAAACAGGUUAAUAUUCCUGUACUUGGUGUUACUGCGAAGGGGGGACGGAGAAGGCUAUGUUAGCCGGGCGACGGUUGUCCCGGUUUAAGCAUGUAGGCUGGUUGUCCAGGCAAAUCCGGAUAAUCAAGGCUGAGGUGUGAUGACGAGGCACUACGGUGCUGAAGUAACAAAUGCCCUGCUUCCAGGAAAAGCCUCUAAGCAUCAGGUAACAUCAAAUCGUACCCCAAACCGACACAGGUGGUCAGGUAGAGAAUACCAAGGCGCUUGAGAGAACUCGGGUGAAGGAACUAGGCAAAAUGGUGCCGUAACUUCGGGAGAAGGCACGCUGGUGUGUAGGUGAAGUCCCUGCGGAUGGAGCUGAGACCAGUCGAAGAUACCAGCUGGCUGCAACUGUUUAUUAAAAACACAGCACUGUGCAAACACGAAAGUGGACGUAUACGGUGUGACGCCUGCCCGGUGCCGGAAGGUUAAUUGAUGGGGUUAUCCGUAAGGAGAAGCUCUUGAUCGAAGCCCCGGUAAACGGCGGCCGUAACUAUAACGGUCCUAAGGUAGCGAAAUUCCUUGUCGGGUAAGUUCCGACCUGCACGAAUGGCGUAAUGAUGGCCAGGCUGUCUCCACCCGAGACUCAGUGAAAUUGAACUCGCUGUGAAGAUGCAGUGUACCCGCGGCAAGACGGAAAGACCCCGUGAACCUUUACUAUAGCUUGACACUGAACAUUGAGCCUUGAUGUGUAGGAUAGGUGGGAGGCUUUGAAGCGUGGACGCCAGUCUGCGUGGAGCCAACCUUGAAAUACCACCCUUUAAUGUUUGAUGUUCUAACGUUGGCCCCUGACCGGGGUUGCGGACAGUGUCUGGUGGGUAGUUUGACUGGGGCGGUCUCCUCCCAAAGCGUAACGGAGGAGCACGAAGGUUAGCUAAUCCUGGUCGGACAUCAGGAGGUUAGUGCAAUGGCAUAAGCUAGCUUGACUGCGAGCGUGACGGCGCGAGCAGGUGCGAAAGCAGGUCAUAGUGAUCCGGUGGUUCUGAAUGGAAGGGCCAUCGCUCAACGGAUAAAAGGUACUCCGGGGAUAACAGGCUGAUACCGCCCAAGAGUUCAUAUCGACGGCGGUGUUUGGCACCUCGAUGUCGGCUCAUCACAUCCUGGGGCUGAAGUAGGUCCCAAGGGUAUGGCUGUUCGCCAUUUAAAGUGGUACGCGAGCUGGGUUUAGAACGUCGUGAGACAGUUCGGUCCCUAUCUGCCGUGGGCGCUGGAGAAUUGAGGGGGGCUGCUCCUAGUACGAGAGGACCGGAGUGGACGCAUCACUGGUGUUCGGGUUGUCAUGCCAAUGGCACUGCCCGGUAGCUAAAUGCGGAAGAGAUAAGUGCUGAAAGCAUCUAAGCACGAAACUUGCCCCGAGAUGAGUUCUCCCUGAGACUUUAAGUCUCCUGAAGGAACGUUGAAGACGACGACGUUGAUAGGCCGGGUGUGUAAGCGCAGCGAUGCGUUGAGCUAACCGGUACUAAUGAACCGUGAGGCUUAACCUU